GUUGAAGAACGUAGCGAAAUGCGAUAAGUAAUGUGAAUUGCAGAAUUCAGUGAAUCAUCGAAUCUUUGAACGCACAUUGCGCCCGCCAGUAUUCUGGCGGGCAUGCCUGUUCGAGCGUCAUUUCAACCAUCAAGCCCCCGGGCUUGUGUUGGGGACCUGCGGCUGCCGCAGGCCCUGAAAAGCAGUGGCGGGCUCGCUGUCACACCGAGCGUAGUAGAUUUUAUCUCGCUCUGGGCGUGCUGCGGGUUCCGGCCGUUAAACCACCCUUUUAACCCAAGGUUGACCUCGGAUCAGGUAGGAAGACCCGCUGAACUUAAGCAUAUCAAUAAGCGGAGGA
rnacentral:misc_RNA from 1 species